UGGGGAAUUUUGGACAAUGGGCGAAAGCCUGAUCCAGCAAUGCCGCGUGUGUGAAGAAGGCCUUCGGGUUGUAAAGCACUUUUGUCCGGAAAGAAAUCCUUGGCUCUAAUACAGUCGGGGGAUGACGGUACCGGAAGAAUAAGCACCGGCUAACUACGUGCCAGCAGCCGCGGUAAUACGUAGGGUGCAAGCGUUAAUCGGAAUUACUGGGCGUAAAGCGUGCGCAGGCGGUUUGCUAAGACCGAUGUGAAAUCCCCGGGCUCAACCUGGGAACUGCAUUGGUGACUGGCAGGCUAGAGUAUGGCAGAGGGGGGUAGAAUUCCACGUGUAGCAGUGAAACGCGUAGAGAUGUGGAGGAAUACCGAUGGCGAAGGCAGCCCCCUGGGCCAAUACUGACGCUCAUGCACGAAAGCGUGGGGAGCAAACAGGAUUAGAUACCCUGGUAGUCCACGCCCUAAACGAUGUCAACUAGUUGUUGGGGAUUCAUUUCCUUAGUAACGUAGCUAACGCGUGAAGUUGACCGCCUGGGGAGUACGGUCGCAAGAUUAAAACUUAAAGGAAUUGACGGGGUCAUAGCUGUUUCCU
rnacentral:rRNA from 1 species